rnacentral:rRNA from 1 species
UGCCUAAUACAUGCAAGUCGAGCGGACAGAUGGGAGCUUGCUCCCUGAUGUUAGCGGCGGACGGGUGAGUAACACGUGGGUAACCUGCCUGUAAGACUGGGAUAACUCCGGGAAACCGGGGCUAAUACCGGAUGGUUGUUUGAACCGCAUGGUUCAAACAUAAAAGGUGGCUUCGGCUACCACUUACAGAUGGACCCGCGGCGCAUUAGCUAGUUGGUGAGGUAACGGCUCACCAAGGCAACGAUGCGUAGCCGACCUGAGAGGGUGAUCGGCCACACUGGGACUGAGACACGGCCCAAACUCCUACGGGAGGCAGCAGUAGGGAAUCUUCCGCAAUGGACGAAAGUCUGACGGAGCAACGCCGCGUGAGUGAUGAAGGUUUUCGGAUCGUAAAGCUCUGUUGUUAGGGAAGAACAAGUGCCGUUCAAAUAGGGCGGCACCUUGACGGUACCUAACCAGAAAGCCACGGCUAACUACGUGCCAGCAGCCGCGGUAAUACGUAGGUGGCAAGCGUUGUCCGGAAUUAUUGGGCGUAAAGGGCUCGCAGGCGGUUUCUUAAGUCUGAUGUGAAAGCCCCCGGCUCAACCGGGGAGGGUCAUUGGAAACUGGGGAACUUGAGUGCAGAAGAGGAGAGUGGAAUUCCACGUGUAGCGGUGAAAUGCGUAGAGAUGUGGAGGAACACCAGGUGGCGAAGGCGACUCUCUGGUCUGUAACUGACGCUGAGGAGCGAAAGCGUGGGGAGCGAACAGGAUUAGAUACCCUGGUAGUCCACGCCGUAAACGAUGAGUGCUAAGUUGUUAGGGGGUUUCCGCCCCUUAUGGGUGCAGCUAACGAAUUAAGCACUCCGCCUGGGGAGUACGGUCGCAAGACUGAAAACCAAGGGAUUGACGGGGGCCCGCACAUGCGGUGGAACAUGGUGGUUUAAUUCGAAGCACCGCGAAGAACUUUACCAGGUCUUGAAA